rnacentral:misc_RNA from 1 species
AACGCACGUGGCGCCAGCAAUGGCAUACCUGUUUGAGGGUUGGAUCGAUGUGAUAGAUGUGGCUGCGUCUCGCAGAGUCAGCCAAAGUGGAUGUCUGUGUGGCGAACCCGUGUGGUACGGACUCUGGUCCAGAGCACGGAAAACCCCCAUGAACAGCUCCUAACCCACUCCAACCUCAAAUCAGGCAAGGCUACCCGCUGAACUUAA